rnacentral:lncRNA from 1 species
UGGAAUCUCCUUUCUCAAGGUGGCACAGCAUAGGCUUUGAUGGUUGUGCCAGUGUCCUCAGUACUUCCCUGGGGUUCUUCCAUUUGGAGCUUUUUUCCUUCUUCCCCAGAGAUCCUGCUGCAGCUGCUUCCCUGCAGGAGCAUCCUGUCGCACCAGCCAGAAGCUGGAGCUUAUCACACUCUCAGAGCUGCAGUGUCUGCUCCUGUGGGACAGCUGGCAGGAACCUGGCUUUCUUCCUGAUGACACUAUGCCUCUGGGUGAGAGAGAUUUCCUGCUCAUGAGCUGAAAGGCAAAGAUUUUUUUUCCCAGCUCCAGUAGUGGCA